UACAGAAAAAAAUAAAAACGUAAAAUAUAUAAAAUAUAACCAGUUACUUACAAUUGUAAUAACAUUUUACAUUAAAUGCAGCUUAAUUUAAAUCUCAUCACAGUUGAUUUACUAUAUAUUAAUCAAACAUUUUAAAGAUUUGAUAACAGAUUGGGAUGAUACGCAGCAUUGGUCACUGAACAUUUAACUUGAUGAACAUACCCUGCAAAAAGACAGCAUGACCUGCAGAUCAUUAAAUAUCAGCAUCCCUGACACCAUGGGCUAAUCAAUAAGUGCACUGAUAGGUUUUUGUUGUUGAGUUUUUUCACACAGGAGGGGGCUACACUAACCCAGAGGGGCUGCGGACAGAUGCAGUGACAGUGGGGAGUGAGAAAAGUUAAAGAUUCACCACACAUCUGUUACUCUGCCACAAGAGCGGACUCUCAGGCACCUACCCCCGCUGUCUGCCGGCUUGCCCGCCUGCCUGGUUCAUCCUCAACCUAACCACAGGCUCUACUCUUCACCACAGUGGACUCUUUGUGUGGCAGCGGUUUCUUCGCAGAUAAGAUGUAACUAAAAAAACCCUUCGGAUGGGGAACAGAGAAGUUCAGAAAACACGAGUGGAGUCAGGAGCGGAGAAGAGCGCAUGUCCUCUUGGAUGUGUUGAAUGGGCCUCAUCCCCCGCUGGGUGCAGGUGAGCACUCGAGGCAGGCUCGCACCUGCCCUCUUUGUUCCUGACUGAUGGGUUUACGGCGAGAGGGAUCUGUCUGCCUCGUAAAGCCAGCGGGCCGAGGGGCAGUAAAGCCUAACUGCUGUCAGAGCUUUGUGUGAGAGUGUGAAAGUGUGUGUGAGGCCCUGAGAGACAGGACAGAUCAUCAGGGAGCAUCACACAAUGCAGACAGACUGACAAAAACAAUUACGCUCCUGUAGAGGAUUCCCAGACAAAACAGAGUCAUUAAAGCCAAACAAAUAAAAGCAACGUUUAAUUGGUAUGCAUACGGAGAGGCUAAACUCGCUUUUUACUUAAGUUGACCUCUAGGAUACAAGACGUGAAAUGUAAAAUGAAUAUGCCUAAUUACAUUUCAGGAUGUCUAAUAUUACAGAAUUAAAAGGAAAGAGGCUACAACAUGGGGCCAGAGACUUGUCAUGUGGCACAACUUACCCCACAUAUGGGUAGUUCUGCGUUAUAUCAAAAGGUACAUUUUUGGGGAAUACAUUAACCAUUUAUAUUUCAAAGAAAAAUAUGGAUAGAAUAAAGGAGGUGGCACAAUCCACUUUCAAGCUCAAUUUGUUGUUUUUUAUUUGUAAUUUCAUUAACAAGCAAGGAAAAAAAUAUUUCAAUGUAGUGAAGCAUUUUGUGUAAUAGUGAUGAUCAAAUACUGAAAGAAACUGGAUGUUAUAAAGUUUACUAUUUCUAUUUAAGCCUUCAUUUAUGGUUAAUUUUUAUAAUGAUUAUUGUAAAUGAGAGGUCAAAUGAAGUUAAUGUGAUAUAUACACAUACAUACAUUUAUAGCAUAACAAUUGGGGUAAGAAAAAUACAAUUAAUUCAAAGAGAAAACAAGUUUAGUUUGAUUACCUCAUUGGCAAAUACUUUUUUUUUUUUUUUUUUUAAAUAUGAAGUCGUUUAAUUUAGUUAACAUUUUUAGAAAACAAUAUUUAUUUUUUGGUCUUUAUUAUGAUACAAACAGAAAAGUAGAAAUCAGUAUUUAGUGUGACCUUCUGGACUUCCUCCAGUUUCUAAAAGAAAAAAAAAUCUCAUCAGAUUUUGAAAGUUUUCUUGGCCUUCCAGUUCUUUUCCAUUCCUUUUAGGUUUAAGAGAGCCGGUUCCUGCUCUUGCUCAAGUGUAAGGGGAGGUCACCAAACCAAAUACUUACCACUUUAGCCUAUAAAAGCCCUUUAUUCUGAUUUUUUUCCUGUUUUUUUAUACUGCAUGCACAUUUCCUGUAUAUUCUGGUUAUAUUCUAAUAAA